rnacentral:lncRNA from 1 species
CGACAUGGUUGUAAAUAGCUACUAGUUCGUUUAUAGUCGGAAAAUAGUGGGAUUUGAACAUGAUAGGCUGCGAAUUCAGUUAUUGGCGAUAAGAAGUGAGCCAUCCUAACAUCGAAUUAUCUGAAUUUCAAACGAUGUAAAAUAGUAAAAGAUGAUUCAGGAUAAUCCUCAGUUAACAUCAGAUAAGCUUUUUCAAUGUCAAUUAAGAGUCUGGGUUUGGGAAGACUGAAGUGGGUCCGCCUGAACACGUUAACUUUUCAUACAGGGAGGAGUGAAUAUGGUGUCAAGGAGCCCUUGAGGCUGCUGUUCCUCCUGACUGGUCAUGAGUUUCUCCUGUUCCUCCUUAAUCAGUGUGUGCUCUUGGGCCUCCUGCACCAGACUCGGGCUCCAGUCCUUAUCACAGUGCUGCUGCUCAGAGGUAACAUUUACAUUUGAGUCAUUUAGCAGACGCUCUUAUCCAGAGAGACUUACAGUAGUGAAUGCAUACAUUUCAUACAUUUUUUUUCUUACAUUUUUUUUUUUUCCAUACUUGUCCCCCGUGGGAAUUGAACCCACAACCCUGGCGUUGCAAACACCAUGCUCUACCAACUGAGCCACACGGGACCACCUCCUCCUCAGAGACAGCGAGAAAGAACUGGAGGGAGCCUAUUCUACACAGUUGUAUCUCUGCUGGGAUCCGCAGCGUCUCCGUAGCCGGUUAUUCUUCUCAUUGGAUCUCCUCAUGCGGUUGGCAAGCUUAGAAAUGGACAAUAGCGACGCCCGCUGGAUGGGGUUCAUAGCUGGAAUAGAUGUAAAACAAAUUGCACCCCUUGGAAAGUGGGUACGCAGACCCGUGAGCAACUGCGGCCACUCAUGAUGAGUUCAGAUUUUUUGUGUUUCUCACCCCCAUCAAAGUUGCCCAUCUCUGCUCUAAAAGGGCACUGAAAGAACUGUCGCUUUCAACUAUUGCUUGUUCAGGACAUUUCUAAUAUAGUUUUAUUUUCUAUGAACUUUAUGAAAUGAAUCCCCCUACCUUUUUCCUAUACAGUAGCCCUACAUGUUCCUUAGAACAGUAUUUAUAUAGAGAGAUGGUCUCUCCAACGUUCUAUCACAGAGAAGGGGCUAGGCAUGGGGACAUGGCAGAGAACCCCUAUUUUCGGAUAGUCGCCUUAUUAGGCCCAUCUGUAUGGAUCCCAAUAGGUUGCCUGAUCAUUUCUCCGAAUGGCCCCUCUCCCUUGACCUGUAAGCAUCUUUGUUGCUUGAUGAGGCAAAGGGUCACUAAUUCACCAAUCUCCUAUCAGGGCAAAAUUUUAGUUCAAGACUGAUAUGGAGAGAGAGAGAGAGGGAAAUGGAGUCCUGCAAACUUAAGGUAUAUACUAUUCUGGUCUUCUUGAGUCACUGCUGUUGGGGAGCCAACAGACUGUUGGGAAGCCCCCCCCCAUCCUUCACCCCCCACUUCUAUUAAAAUAAUCUGUCUGUUUCAGUUAGCUAGUCUCAAAAUGCGGCCAUUCUCCUCUCAGCCAUAAACCUGUCUGUUGGACUCAGUCCAUCUCUCCUUUUUUCCCUCUUCCCUCUCUCUCCACCUUCUCAAAGUGUGGUAAUUAGAUCAUGUGUGGUAAUUCGAUCAUCAAGUCAAUUAUGGAGAGACUCAUUCUUAAGAGUCUAUUUACGCGCCCGCGCAUCAAUCUAAGUAACAUCAAAAUCCGUCAGUUUAAGCUAGAGAUAUCAGGGCUGUGUCUCAAUCCACCACAUCCGCCUAUGUUGACCUUCCGACCUUCCUAUGUUGACCUUGCGGUGUAAGGUCGCUGAGCUGCAACAGUGUUUGUCAGACCAUGAGACCGCGAAAAUCGGUCUUCUCACGAAAACAUCUGUAGCGUCCAUACAGUCCGUAUGAUUUAUUUUCUGACUGUCUUUUUUGCCAUUUAUGAAUGUGUUCUUCAAUGCAUGUAUAUGGGCUAUAGUAGUAAAGGCCAAAUUCAAUGUUUUAUCAAAUAUAAAAAUUGAUACCUAAAGGGGUCCUAAAAUAGUUAAAUGAUCCAUGGUAUGAUCAUCUUAAAACAAAUCCAUGUGUUAGCUUAGUGCCCCCCCUCUCUCUCUCUACAAACUAUUGAAAACAUCAGGUGGUCAUAAGAUUAAAGGAAUGUCCACCUGCUUUGAAAAUCCUCUCUAAGCUCAAGGGGCGAGAGUUCAGCUUUAACUGGUUGAAGACUGGGUGAAAGUGAUAGGGAGGAACCUUAAGAGUAUUACCAAAAAAAUGAAAACAAAAUCUGCCCUUGAUUCAAACAAUAACUGUGCUAUAAAAAGUCAACGGAUUAAUAUUUUUUUUUUUAGCUUUUGCCCC